ensembl:lncRNA
CUGAUCACUUUAUUAUAAAGUAUUUAGUGCAUAGUCUCUGUGCUUAUACUAUUAUUCCUAAGCCUGAAGAUACACUCAUCUAUGGUCUUCUCCUCCUGUUUUUUUAGAUACCAGCAAUUUCUGUUCUAAGCUUACCAAUUGUUACAUACAUGAACUGGAGGCAUGGCUGGCUGAUUCCUUCUAGCUCUGUCAGGUUGACUGGGCAGCUACAGCAGUCCUGCUCUGAGCUGCAGGUCAGGUUCAGGUGAUGACAUUGUUGGAAAGUAGACCAGAGCUGGAAUCCCCUAGCUCUAACCAUUAUCAUUUAUGGAAGUCCAGUCAUCAAUGCCAAGGGCACCCUGAAGCAAAGAAGACUUCAAACCACCUGAGCCUAUACCCUGCAGGAUAGUAGUCACUCUUUACAGGUUUCUCAAGGCUUUAUCCAUAAGAAAGGUGAGUCUCCCCCAAGGGGAACCUGUGUACAUUUGUUAUAUGAUAUUUUUUCCAUCUCAUUAAGUUGUGGUAGAAUUACCUGACCAGCAGCCUGUUCCAAUAGGCCUUCAGUGACUAUAUUUGAUAACAGUAAUAUAAUGACUAAAAUAUCACCAGAAAUGUGUCACUAAAGAUCUUUUAGCCUAUUAUAUUCUUUUUUUUCUACUUUUAACUUUCCAUUCAGUAUAGCCAACCAAAUAGUAGAGACAGCAGUAGCAAUUUCUUAUUUCUCAUGUAGCUGCGAUUGUUCUUUUCUCAUAAACCUCAAGCUCUACAACCCAGGAAACAUUAUAUCCAGUUGUUCUACUCUGUGUCAUCAAAUGUCCGUAAGUCUUAAUUUUCAAGGGGCUUUAUUUACAAUGCCUGUCUUUGUUAAUGAUUAGCCAAAGCCGUGGUUGGCAAAUUAACAACAAAUCGAAACAUUUCAUCUCUCACUCUUGAACCAAUAUUUUCAGAUUUGCCAUGUGAUGUGAUUUAGGUCAGAGCUAUCAAUUGAGAUAUUGUAUUCACUAGGUUUUAGUUCAAUUCAACUCUGCAAAUCUUUUGAAUGCCUGCUAUUUGCAAGGCACCAUGCCAGAUGAUGGGAGAGAUAUGGAGAGGAGUAUAGCACUGGAAGGAAGCCUAGUAGGACAGAUAAGACAUGAACCUAGUAACUGCAACAUAAGGUAGAACAUAACUGCCAAAAGAAAAAGUUACAAAUAUCGUGCUAUGAGAUUUAAGAGGAAAGAUCUAUUACAUCCAGUUGGAAAGACUGGGAGAUGGUGUUAAAGUUGGUCCCUGACAGCUAAGUAUAAAUUUGAGAGUUCAGGGUAAUGGGGAGAGUAUUCAAGAUGAGAGGCCCACAGAAGCGAGAGUGGGGAAGUGAGAAAGUAAGGGGUGGAAUCAGAAUCAGCAAAGUGCUCUUGUUUGGCAGGAGCACAGGACAUUGAGACAGGAUUGUGGGUGAAAAGGCUGGAAAGGUAGGACAUUUGAAGAUGCUGAAAAUCUGCCUUAAAAUAUUAAAAAUAUUGAGGGUGGAAAGCCUUCCAGUCUUGAAGUCAUAAGUCUAUCCUCUGGGAUAGACACUGGAAUUUGCCUUUGGGGCCAAAAUGCUAAAUCAGGUUUUAUAAACAUCUCUUCAGUGGGCCUUUUAAUUGUGUAGGUAUACGGGCAAGUAAGUGCCCACUGUUUUUCUUAAAGAAGGCCAAAAUGCAAUGAAGUAACCCAAAUGCAAAUGCUUUGAACAGUCUAUUUAGUAAUGUAAAUUG